CCUACGGGAGGCAGCAGUGAGGAAUAUUGGUCAAUGGACGAGAGUCUGAACCAGCCAAGUAGCGUGAAGGAUGACUGCCCUCUGGGUUGUAAACUUCUUUUAUAUGGGAAUAAAACAGGGUAUGCAUACCCUCUUGUAUGUACCAUAUGAUUAAGGAUCGGCUAACUCCGUGCAAGCAGCCACGGUAAUACGGAGGAUCCGAGCGUUAUCCGGAUUUAUUGGGUUUAAAGGGAGCGUAGGUGGAUUGUUAAGUCAGUUGUGAAAGUUUGCGGCUCAACCGUAAAAGUGCAGUUGAAAAUGGUAGUCUUGAGUAUAGUAGAGGUGGGCGGAAUUCGUGGUGUAGCGGUGAAAUGCUUAGAUAUCACGAAGAACUCUGAUUGCGAAGGCAGCCCACUGGACUGCAACUGACACUGAUGCGCGAAAGUGUGGGUAUCAAACAGGAGUAGAUACCCGGGUAGUC
rnacentral:rRNA from 1 species